rnacentral:tRNA from 1 species
CGGGACGUGGCGCAGUCUGGAAGCGCACCUGAAUGGGGUUCAGGGGGUCCGGGGUUCAAGUCCCCGCGUCCCGACCA